GGGUUCGAUCAGAAGGCAGGGGGCGACUUCAAGCUCCCCAAAACCCUAGUUCACAUCAAAAACCACCAAUUGAAGGAUCAAAUCGAGUCCAAAACGAAAAUCGAGCAUAUAUUCGUGAUCCCCAUUGAAAGGAGAUCAUAAGGGAUGAUAUAAUGUCUAGGAUUUGUCGCCUAACGAGCUAGGUGGAGGCUUGGAAAAGAAGCGGUCAAACGAAUCAAGCACGAGAAGAAAACGUAUUCGGAUGCGAGGUAAGUAGAGCUUACGCCCCUUUACAUUAUUUGCAAAGUUACUUAAUUUCAAGUAAUGAUAUGAAUGCUACUAAGUGGUUGGUAUAUGAUAUUCCGACGCGAUUCAAUGAGAGUUGGAAUGAGGGGAAAAUGGUAAAUUAGUCAUGUAAUGACGAAUAAUUAAAAACGGUUUUAAGUAAAACAAGUUCAAAGAAAACCGGGAUAGGUAAAAGGGGUGAAAUGGUAAUUAAAUACCAUCUCAACACGGACAAAUGGUCAAUUAGACUAAAUGGGUCAAAUGGUGUGGAUAACACCAUUUGGCAAUAACAAUUGACAAUCGCUUGUUGAGUUUUGUGAUUUCAGGAAAUAACAUGUGUUGCGUUGCUUUAAUUAGAAAAUUUAAAGCAAGAAGUAUGUAAACGGGUCAAUACUAUGAUCCGAGCCAGGUACGCAUACGUGAAUUUAUAGUUAAAAGUGCAAGAAGGUCUAACAUCUAGCCGAAAUCCUUCAUUUCAAAAUGAAGGACUAAAUGUGACCAAAGAGCCCUUAAUAGGUAAACAAUGUAGACGACCCUUAGAGGUUGCCUAGAAACUUAUAUUAUGAGUUUGAAACCCUUAGAUGUGUAUAAAAGUUCUAGGAAAAAACAAUUGCGGGUCGAACGCCUAGAAAUAGUUAAUUGCGGAAAAAUGACCAACCGAUAGGUAAAAUUGGGAAAAAGGGGUUCAUAUGUUAAAUCCACCACAAAAUAGUUGUGGUGGAAUAUUUCUAGUUAAUUAGACACGGAAAAUAUUGUAGUAUCAAAAGAAAAGCACAAGUUCUAGACCAAAAUGCGUAAAUACCCUUAACGGGUCGAAAUAGAAGUAUUAGCGAAACGAGUUAAGAAUGUGUAAUAACCCGUGAUUUGAACCUUGUACAAUAGGAAAUAAUCAUAAUAUUAUGUUUACGAAAGAAACAAGGGCCACAAUCAAGUUUGUUAGAUGAAUUCAUGAACGGGUCAAAAUUUGGGUAAAAAUGGUAAUAAGCCGAAGACUUAAAAGUCUUAAAUUUUUGUUAAUCCGGAUGUCGGAUUUUAACUCCAUAUGAUGGAGAAUUAAAUUAAGGACGCGUAGGAAAAAGAAUCGUGUAAAACGGAUUAAAAACGAGAGAGUUAUGUCCGUUUCGGUAAGAACUAAUGAAAAAUAGACGUGCAGAGUUGACACGGGCGGGUGACUUUUUGACACGGCCGGGUGGCUGG
rnacentral:lncRNA from 1 species